CACGGCCGGACCUCCUGGAGCUGCAGCCGCGCCCCGGGCCCUUGGACCGACUCUCCGCCCGGGCGCGCCGCCGCCGCCCCCGCUGGGGAACUCCGCAGCCCGCCCGCGCGGAGUCAGCGCUCAAGUUUUAGGAUCACUUAAUGGACAGGAUCUUUUCCUCUCAUGAUGACAACACCCAAACCUAACUACUGCUACUGCUAUUGAUGCUACUUUGCUAACCUCGAUGGAGUGUCACCAUGUCCCGGCACUGUUUGGAAUCUAGCACAUGCCCUCACUUAACCCUCACAGCAACUCUCCAAGGACGCUGCUCUUCAGACUUAAGGCCCACCCCCAUCUACAGUGAUCUCAUCUCUAUCCUUCCUUAAUUACAUCUGCAAAGGUCCUUAUUCCAGACAACGUAACCAUCUGGGUAGGCCGAGCUGUGGGAGUUACCAUUACAACCCACCAUAGGUGCUUUGGUAUGUAAAAGGUCAAAAUCACACAAAGAAGAGUAUGUCAUCACAACCUCUGACUCUCCCUCCAUCCAGGCCCUGAUGACAAUUACUAAAUUUCCCCAGAGUGAUGUCUCAAUAGCAAACUUAAGACAGGGCUCUGCCUGCCGUCCAGCAAACAACAGAACAGAGCAAAAGGAGACACACCGAAUAGGAAAGAAGUUGGUGUCAGGACAGGAUUGUUCCCAGUGUUCCGAGUGUCUGUGAGUGGAGGAAAGGAGAUGUGCUAUCCCUGGGUGGCUUUUCCUCCAAGCAACUGUGCGUGACUCUCAGCCCAUGUUUCUCAGCCCAUUUUAGGAGAAAACCCCCUUGCAAGGGCAGUGGCACCUGAGCAGGUGCUGAUGGAAUCCCAGGGGUGUGCAGAGGGCGGGAGCCUGGCUGUGCUGAGGAAAGAGGCCAGUGAUGGCCCCGGAGGCCUCUGGGGCUGGAGCCCUCUCAGCACAGGCAGCCUUCCUGAGCAUCAUCUGACUUCUGGUUCCUUGAAUUAGGGUGACAGUGAGUGAUGACGUCUGGCAGCGGAUGGUUGGUUGGCCACAGCCCAGCUCUAAUGCUGACCUGAGAAGAUGGGUGACUGAUCAUGGAUCGACUGAGAGUUUUUAAAGUUCAUUGCAGGAGACAGCUUCCCACCCAGACCCACCAAACCCAAACCUGCAUGCAGUUAGAGUUGGGUGCAAAUAUCGGUUUCCACAAUUGGGCAAGUCAUGCUUGUGAACCAAGAGCAACAGCACUUACCCAGGCAGCGAGGGUGGGAGCCCAGGAAUGUGCAAGUCCUGCACCGUUUAAGUUGUCUGAGUACCUUGCUUUUACGUGGGGGAAGGGAGUAUUAAUAAUUAUGAUUUAUACACAGGGGACCCUUGUUCCUAUCUAAUGGGAAGGUAACUCCUAUCAACACUUUCUAACUUUUCAUUAAGAAGCAUAUGUUUUAAGACAAUAACAGGAACGAAAGAGCCCAUUCUUCCUGUGCCAGCUUCCGUCCAGUUUAGAACAAAAUGUUAUUCAUGGCCAGGCUCCACCUUGCUGAGGAGGGCUGGUGUUCGUCUUUGCGAGGACAGUCCUACUGGCCACUCCAUAGAAAACCAUGUGCUAACAACACAGAGACCCCAGAGAGGUGUGACUGGCUUAGGAGGAAUGUGGCAUUUGCACUUGAUGGCAGGGGGCUAGUGGGCCUCUCUCAAUCCUGGAUUAAUUAAAAUAAUUAUUAAAUAUUGAAUUAUUUAAAUAAUUAAAUAGAGGAUUUGUCCCGGCUCUUGGCACUCUGGAGGCCCACAAAAAACAUGAGUAUUGCCACCAUCCCAUUCUUUUCUAGGCUGGACUCACAUUCCCUGGAUCCCCUGAGUCCGAAUCCUACCAACUCUGGGUCUGGAAGUUGUCCUAGGCUCUGCCCUGCCUCCAACCCCUUGGGGAUGUUUUGGGAGGGCCCAGCAUUAAACCAGGAUGGGACACAGCAGAAACAGCCUUGGCUUUGGAGGGGAGGAUUUCCAAUGCCAACUUUUUAUCUGAUGGGAAGGGCUGAGGUUAAGAGGCAGCAGCAGGGGACAGCACAAAUAAAUACAUAAAAUCCUCUCCAGGGGCUGCCAUUGUACUCAGGACAAUGGUGGCCCCAGAGAACAUUUUCAUCUCGUUGAGAUUGGAAAGUAAAAUAAAUGUGGUCAUAUAUACCCUCCUCCUUGGCCCUGGCUGGCUGUGGCCUACACCAGCUCUGCAGGAGACAAAAGACAUUUUUUCAGAAUCCUGGCCUCAAGUGAGGGAGAAGGAAAUUUAGGGUGUGGAAGGUCCUCAGGGCUGGGGUCUAGAUGUCCUUUGGUCACUGUUCUCCCCAGCCCCCUUGCUUUCUCAAAGCUGCCAGCCUCUCGCCUCCACCCUUCCUAGUGUUCUCCAGCCCACAAUGGGCCACAUCCAGCAGGGCAGGGCUGGCGGACACACCCAGGCAGGCUGCUUGGCUCUGCAGGGAAGAGGAGUCCCUUUCCAGCAAUGGGCAGGAGGGGCUGAGCAGGACUGGUAGCUUUUCUGAGUUGAGAACAUGUCCCCAAAUACUCUAUGGGCUGGCAGCUCUCUUCGUCUUUGCAGUCCUCAGUUGCUUUGAAGUCACCCAAUCAGAAGGAUUUUUCUGGUACCAAUGACAUCUCUCAUUGGAAUGAGUCUCAGCUCCUCCGCAGGUGGUGUUUCUAAGCACCCUUACAGUGGGGUAGGGUCCUCCUCACCCAGGAAGCUGGCACCUUCACACACCUCCCGUUCCAGCAGUCUGCCACCCUGGCUGGCUAUGGCACAUGAUGCCCAGAAACCCAGCAUGGUACUGGAGAGGCAAGGUUUGAACCCCAGAACCCCCAACAGCAGAUCUUGGAUAAGACACUUAGCCUCUCUAGGUCUGUUCCUUUACGUCAUUUUUUAAAAAAUUUAUUUACUUGUUUUUUAUUUUUACAGACUGCAUUUUGAUUCAUUGUACACAAAUGGGGCACAACUUUUUAUUUCUAUGAUUGUGCACGAUGUAGAUUCACACUAUUCGUGUAAUCACAUGUACAUAGGGUAAUGAUGACUGCCUCUUUCCACCAUCUUUCACACCAAAAUAGAACAAAUGUAAAGAAUCAAGAAAGAAAUCACAUAAUAUGCUUGGUUCAGGGCUGGGCAAAUAGUAAGUUGUUAUUACUUGGCAGUCACUUCAUUAAUAAAAACUAAUGUUUGAGGACUCA